rnacentral:rRNA from 1 species
UGCAGGUGGUUUGUUAAGUCAGAUGUGAAAGCCCCGGGGCUCAACCUCGGAAUUGCAUUUGAAACUGGCAAACUAGAGUACUGUAGAGGGGGUAGAAUUUCAGGUGUAGCGGUGAAAUGCGUAGAGAUCUGAAGGAAUACCGGUGGCGAAGGCGGCCCCCUGGACAGAUACUGACACUCAGAUGCGAAAGCGUGGGGAGCAAACAGGAUUAGACUACCCUGGUAG